rnacentral:rRNA from 1 species
UUGGAUUGUUGGGUAGGGGAGCGUCGUGCAUGCGUUGAAGCUUUGGGGUGACCUUGGGUGGAGUGUGUGCGAGUGAGAAUGCAGGCAUGAGUAACGAAUGAUGCGUGAGAAACGUAUCCGCCGGAUGACUAAGGGUUCCUGGGUCAAGUUAAUCUUCCCAGGGUGAGUCGGGGCCUAAGGCGAGGCCGACAGGCGUAGUCGAUGGAUAACGGGUUGAUAUUCCCGUACCCGAGUAUGAGCGACCAUGGUGAAUCAGUGAUACUAACCACCCAUAAGCACCCGCGAAAAGGCUUUGCUUUUUUGUGGUGUGUGGUUGCGUGGGACCUGAUCUGGUAGUAGCUAAGUGAUGGGGUGACGCAGGGAGGUAGCUCAGCCACUUAUUGGAUUGUGGUGUAAGCGUGUGGCACGCAGUGUUGGUAAAUCCGCACUGUUUUUGUGUGAGGCGUGAUGCGGAGCCCGUAAAGGGUGAAGUGGGUGAUCCUGUGCUGUCGAGAAAAGCCUCUAGCGAUGUUGAUAUUCGGCCCGUACCCUAAACCGACACAGGUAGUCAGGUAGAGAAUACUAAGGCGUUCGGGUGAACUGUGGUUAAGGAACUCGGCAAAAUGCCCCCGUAACUUCGGGAGAAGGGGGGCCACGGCGUGUGAACAACUUUUCGUUGGGAGCGUGUUGUGGUCGCAGAGAAUAGAGGGAAGCGACUGUUUACUAAAAACACAGGUCCGUGCGAAGACGUUUAAGUUGAUGUAUACGGACUGACGCCUGCCCGGUGCUGGAAGGUUAAGAGGACCGGUUAGCCGUAAGGCGAAGCUGAGAAUUUAAGCCCCAGUAAACGGCGGUGGUAACUAUAACCAUCCUAAGGUAGCGAAAUUCCUUGUCGGGUAAGUUCCGACCUGCACGAAUGGCGUAACGACUUCCCUGCUGUCUCAACCACAGGCCCGGUGAAAUUGCAGUACGAGUAAAGAUGCUCGUUACGCGCGGCAGGACGAAAAGACCCCGGGACCUUCACUAUAGCUUGGUAUUGGUGUUUGAUUCGGUUUGUGUAGGAUAGGUGGGAGACUUCGAUCAUAUGACGCUAGUUGUGUGUGAGUCGUUGGUGAAAUACCACUCUGAUCGGAUUGGAUGUCUUAACCUUGGCCCAUGAUCUGGGUUGGGGACAGUGCCUGGUGGGUAGUUUAACUGGGGCGGUUGCCUCCUAAAAUGUAACGGAGGCGCCCAAAGGUUUCCUCAGCUUGGUUGGUAAUCAGGUGGUGAGUGUAAGUGCACAAGGGAGCUUGACUGUGACACUGACAGGUGGAGCAGGGACGAAAGUCGGGACUAGUGAUCCGGCACCUACUUGUGGUUGUGGUGUCGCUCAACGGAUAAAAGGUACCCCGGGGAUAACAGGCUGAUCUUCCCCAAGAGUCCAUAUCGACGGGAUGGUUUGGCACCUCGAUGUCGGCUCGUCGCAUCCUGGGGCUGGAGUAGGUCCCAAGGGUUGGGCUGUUCGCCCAUUAAAGCGGCACGCGAGCUGGGUUUAGAACGUCGUGAGACAGUUCGGUCUCUAUCCGCCGCGCGCGUUGAAACUUGAAGGAAGGCUGUCCCUAGUACGAGAGGACCGGGACGGACGUACCUCUGGUGUGCCAGUUGUUCCGCCAGGAGCAGGGCUGGUUGGCUACGUACGGGAGGGAUAACCGCUGAAAGCAUCUAAGCGGGAAGCCUGUUUCGAGAUGAGGUUUCUUUUGAGGUUCCCUAGAGAUUAUGGGGUUGAUAGGCCAGAUCUGGAAGCACUGUGAGGUGUGGAGGUGACUGGUACUAAUUUACCGAUAACAACAAACCAC